GAUGAACGCUGGCGGCGUGCUUAACACAUGCAAGUCGAGCGAAGCAGUUAAGAAGAUUCUUCGGAUGAUUCUUGACUGACUGAGCGGCGGACGGGUGAGUAACGCGUGGGUGACCUGCCCCAUACCGGGGGAUAACAGCUGGAAACGGCUGCUAAUACCGCAUAAGCGCACAGAGCUGCAUGGCUCGGUGUGAAAAACUCCGGUGGUAUGGGAUGGGCCCGCGUCUGAUUGGGCAGUUGGCGGGGGAACGGCCCACCAAACGGACGACCAGUAGCCGGCCUGAGAGGGCGACCGGCCACAUUGGGACUGAGACACGGCCCAAACUCCUACGGGAGGCAGCAGUGGGGAAUAUUGCACAAUGGGGGAAACCCUGAUGCAGCGACGCCGCGUGAGCGAAGAAGUAUUUCGGUAUGUAAAGCUCUAUCAGCAGGGAAGAUAAUGACGGUACCUGACUAAGAAGCACCGGCUAAAUACGUGCCAGCAGCCGCCGUAA
rnacentral:rRNA from 1 species